rnacentral:rRNA from 1 species
CCUACGGGUGGCAGCAGUGGGGAAUAUUGCACAAUGGGGGAAACCCUGAUGCAGCGACGCCGCGUGAGUGAAGAAGUAUUUCGGUAUGUAAAGCUCUAUCAGCAGGGAAGAAGAAAGACGGUACCUGACUAAGAAGCCCCGGCUAACUACGUGCCAGCAGCCGCGGUAAUACGUAGGGGGCAAGCGUUAUCUGGAUUUACUGGGUGUAAAGGGAGCGUAGACGGCUGUGCAAGUCUGAAGUGAAAGCCCAGGGCUCAACCCUGGAACUGCUUUGGAAACUGUGUAGCUAGAGUACUGGAGAGGUAGGUGGAAUUCCUAGUGUAGCGGUGAAAUGCGUAGAUAUUAGGAGGAACACCAGUGGCGAAGGCGGCCUGCUGGACAGUAACUGACGUUGAGGCUCGAAAGCGUGGGGAGCAAACAGGAUUAGAUACCCCUGUAGUC